rnacentral:rRNA from 1 species
UACGAAGGGGGCUAGCGUUGUUCGGAAUUACUGGGCGUAAAGCGCACGUAGGCGGAUCGAUCAGUCAGGGGUGAAAUCCCAGGGCUCAACCCUGGAACUGCCUUUGAUACUGUCGAUCUGGAGUAUGGAAGAGGUGAGUGGAAUUCCGAGUGUAGAGGUGAAAUUCGUAGAUAUUCGGAGGAACACCAGUGGCGAAGGCGGCUCACUGGUCCAUUACUGACGCUGAGGUGCGAAAGCGUGGGGAGCAACA